rnacentral:rRNA from 2 species
AAACUUGAGAGUUUGAUCAUGGCUCAGAACGUACGCUGGCGGCACGCCUAACACAUGCAAGUCGAACGAAGUAGCAAUACUUAGUGGCAGACGGGUGAGUAACAUGUAGGUAUCUGCCCUUUGGCCUGGAAUAACACGAGGAAACUUGUGCUAAUACCGGAUAAGUCUUUACGGAGAAAGCUUUAUGCACCAUUGGAUGAGCCUGCACUUGAUUAGUUUGUUGGUGGGGUAAUGGCCUACCAAGACUGUGAUCAAUAGCUGAUUUGAGAGGAUGAUCAGCCACAUUGGGACUGAGACACGGCCCAAACUCCUACGGGAGGCAGCAGUGGGGAAUCUUGCACAAUGGAGGAAACUCUGAUGCAGCGAUGCCGCGUGAGUGAAGAAGGCCUUUGGGUUGUAAAGCUCUUUCGUCGGGGAAGAAAAUGACUGUACCCGAAUAAGAAGGUCCGGCUAACUUCGUGCCAGCAGCCGCGGUAAUACGAAGGGACCUAGCGUAGUUCGGAAUUACUGGGCUUAAAGAGUUCGUAGGUGGUUGAAAAAGUUAGUGGUGAAAUCCCAGAGCUUAACUCUGGAACUGCCAUUAAAACUUUUCAGCUAGAGUAUGAUAGAGGAAAGCAGAAUUUCUAGUGUAGAGGUGAAAUUCGUAGAUAUUAGAAAGAAUACCAAUUGCGAAGGCAGCUUUCUGGAUCAUUACUGACACUGAGGAACGAAAGCAUGGGUAGCGAAGAGGAUUAGAUACCCUCGUAGUCCAUGCCGUAAACGAUGUGUGUUAGACGUUGGAAAUUUAUUUUCAGUGUCGCAGGGAAACCGAUAAACACACCGCCUGGGGAGUACGACCGCAAGGUUAAAACUCAAAUGAAUUGACGGGGACCCGCACAAGUAGUGGAGCAUGUGGUUUAAUUCGAAGAUACGCGCAGAACCUUACCAACACUUGACAUGUUCGUCGCGACUCUAAGAGAUUAGAGUUUUCGGUUCGGCCGGACGAAACACAGGUGCUGCAUGGCUGUCGUCAGCUCGUGUCGUGAGAUGUUGGGUUAAGUCCCGCAACGAGCGCAACCCUCACUUUUAGUUGCCAUCAUUAAGUUGGGCACUCUGAAAGAACUGCCAGUGAUAAGCUGGAGGAAGGUGGGGAUGACGUCAAGUCCUCAUGGCCCUUACGUGUUGGGCUACACACGUGCUACAAUGGUAUCUACAACAGGAAGCAAGACUGCGAAGUUAAGCAAAUCCCUAAAAGAUACCUCAGUUCGGAUUGCACUCUGCAACUCGAGUGCAUGAAGCUGGAAUUACUAGUAAUCGUGGAUCAGCGUGCCACGGUGAAUGCGUUCCCGGGUCUUGUACACACCGCCCGUCACACCAUGGGAGUUGGUUCUACCUUAAGGCAAGGUUUAAAACCCUUGACCACGGUAUAGUCAGCGACUGGGGUGAAGUCGUAACAAGGUAGCCGUAGGGGAACCUGCGGCUGGAUUACCUCCUUU